CAAUAGCGUAUAUUAAAGUUGUUGCGGUUAAAAAGCUCGUAGUUGGAUUUCUGCCGAGGACGACCGGUCCGCCCUCUGGGUGAGCAUCUGGCUCGGCCUGGGCAUCCUCUUGGAGAACGUAGCUGCACUUGACUGUGUGGGGCGGUAUCCAGGACUUUUACUUUGAGGAAAUUAGAGUGUUUCAAGCAGGCAUACGCCUUGAAUACAUUAGCAUGGAAUAAUAAGAUAGGACCUCGGUUCUAUUUUGUUGGUUUCUAGAGCUGAGGUAAUGAUUAAUAGGGAUAGUUGGGGGCAUUCGUAUUUAACUGUCAGAGGUGGAAUUCUUGGAUUGCGUUACGACAAACUACUGCGAAAGCAUUUGCCAAGGAAUGUUUUCAUUGAUCAAGAACGAAAGUAAUGGGAGUCGAAGACGAUC
rnacentral:rRNA from 1 species